rnacentral:rRNA from 1 species
ACGUAGGGUGCAAGCGUUAAUCGGAAUUACUGGGCGUAAAGCGUGCGCAGACGGUCAUGUAAGACGGGUGUGAAAGCCCCGGGCUCAACCUGGGAAUUGCAUUCGAGACUGCAUGGCUAGGGUGCGGAAGAGGGAAGCGGAAUUUCCGGUGUAGCGGUGAAAUGCGUAGAUAUCGGAAGGAACACCAGUGGCGAAAGCGGCUUCCUGGUCCAGCACCGACGUUCAGGCACGAAAGCGUGGGGAGCAAACAGGA